rnacentral:sRNA from 1 species
CUGUGGCGGAGGGACCGGAAGCGCCAGGCAGGGACCUGGGGUAGAUGCUAAAUCCAAACUGAAACGUACAGGGCUGGAUGAUUGAAGCAGCAGCGGGAACUAGUCGGACCUCCGAGCUCUUUAAACUGUCCUCAGCCUUCCCCGUGGGAUCGGCUGGUUCUCCACGAGUUCCGAGCAGAAGAGGGGCCGGCGUUUAAGUCAAAGGCCUUGGGGCUCCGAGUCCGUUCGUCUCCCGUCCUGUGAAGGCGCGACCCAGUUCACAUGUCUGUAAAGUGAAGCCAUUAGUCCCUGCUUCGUGGUGAGAAAACUGGAAGGCGGAACGAGGAGGCCGCCGGUCCCAACCCGGCCCAGGAGCAUCUUUCUUCGCAGACCGUUUCCUGGCGAGAUCCUGCGCAGCCGAGGCUGUGUUAGCGCCAAGGACUUCCAGCAGCUGUUAGCAGAGGUACCAGUCCCCUGCCCCUGCACAGCUCCUCCUUGUUAGAUUCGUGUCCGCAGCUUGAGGGGUCUCCUAGCCUCAGUCCCUGAUCCCUGAAGGGUCACUUAGGCCCUCACUUUCCUCUUUCCUGCCCCACGCUCAUCUCUCCACACCUGGGGCUUGGUACCAGGAGAGAGAAGGGGAAAUGCUAAGCUGCCUAGUCAUGCCGUUCUUAACAGCUCUGCGAGAUAAGCACAAGCACCACCCUCAUUUUGGAUUGAGAAGCUGAGGCUUAAAGAGGGAUCACUUGCCCAAGCUUUUACAGCAGGAGCAGAUGCGAUCCCAGCCACGGCUUCCAGGCCCCUGGGCUCCUCACACCUUACCACAUACCCCGCAGGCUGCUGCCAGGGCUGCUGCCCCGCUCCCUCCUCCUCCUUCCCCUGGAGUCAGUGGUGGGAGGCUUCCCAGGAGAGUCCUCAGCAACCUCUGGAACCCAGGACUUGGCCAUGACUGUCUCCUUCCCCUAUAUGGACCCAGAUGGUUGAGGUACAUCUAGGGGUUCUCAUGCCAGCUAGGCUCAGGUUGGGGCAGCAUGAAACAGGACGGGUCUCCUUCUAGAAGUCCCUUUCAGCUAACAGUCUGGAACUUGCAGUUGACCCAGAUAGAUUCAGGAGUGUAGGCUAGACUUGGUUUCCAGCCUGGGCCCUGUCUGGCGUUCUGGGCUUCAGUUUCUUCAUCUGUACGGUGGCCUCAGGAGGAUGGGAGGCCCCACUUGGUAAUAGCCCUGUGCCACCCCAGCUUGAGCAGGAGGUGGAGCGACGGCGGCGGCUGGGGCAGGAGUCAGCAGCUAGGAAAGCCCUCAUCGCGAGUUCCUACCACCCGGCACGGCCUGAGGUCUACGACUCACUGCAGGAUGCAGCUCUGGCCCCCGAGUUUCUGGCCGUGGCUGAGUACAGCGUGUCCCCGGGCGCAGACCUCAAGGGCCUUCUCCAGCGGCUGGAGACAGUAUCGGAGGAGAAGCGCAUCUACCGGGUGCCUGUGUUCACAGCACCCUUCUGCCAGGCCUUGCUGGAAGAGCUGGAGCACUUCGAGCAGUCGGACAUGCCUAAGGGGAGGCCCAACACCAUGAACAACUAUGGGGUGCUGCUGCACGAGCUUGGGCUGGACGAGCCGCUGAUGACACCACUGCGGGAGCGCUUCCUGCAGCCACUGAUGGCCCUGCUGUACCCUGACUGUGGCGGGGGCCGGCUCGACAGCCACCGGGCCUUUGUGGUCAAAUACGCACCGGGCCAGGACCUCGAGCUGGGCUGCCACUAUGAUAAUGCCGAGCUCACACUCAAUGUGGCCUUGGGCAAGGUCUUCACGGGGGGCGCCCUGUAUUUUGGGGGCCUCUUCCAGGUGAGUGUGUGACCCAUGUGGCAGGGCCUGGGGUAGCUGUGAGUGCCCAGGCCUGAGUCGUGCCAUCUGCAGGCACCCACAGCCCUGACGGAGCCCCUGGAGGUGGAGCACGUGGUGGGCCAGGGUGUUCUCCACCGUGGCGGCCAGCUGCAUGGGGCCCGGCCCUUGGGCACUGGUGAGCGUUGGAACCUUGUCGUCUGGCUCCGAGCCUCUGCUGUGCGCAACCGCCUCUGUCCCAUGUGCUGCUGUGAGCCCGACCUGGUGGAUGAUGAGGGCUUCGGUGAUGGCUUCACCCGAGAGGAGCCCGCCACGGUGAAUGUGUGUGCGCUCACCUGAGCUUGCUUGGGCCCAGUGUGGGGGUGGCAGGGAGGUGAGGGCUCCGUUGCCUUGGGCUGGGGGCAGAAAUAAAAUCCCCGCAGCCUACUGCACUUAUUGGCUCAAGGCUGUGCCAGCUUCUGGGUCAUUCUCUGGACAAACAUGCUGCCUUAGUUCAGGUUUGUCCGAAGCAGAGUCUGGAAUGGGG